GAACGCUGGCGGCGUGCUUAAGACAUGCAAGUCGAACGGAGAUCUUGAAUAGCGUGCUAAUUAAGAUAUUAGUGGCGGACGGGUUAGUGACACGUGAGAACCAACCCUUUCCACAGGAAUAGCCCAUGGAAACGUGGAUUAAUGCCUGAUAGUCUCUACUGAGUAAAUGGAGCCUUCGGGUAUCGCUAGAGGAUGGGCUCGCGGCCUAUCAGCUUGUUGGUGAGGUAAAGGCUCACCAAGGCGACGACGGGAAGCUGGUCUGAUAGGACGAUCAGCUCCACUGGAACUGAGACACGGUCCAGACACCUACGGGUGGCAGCAGUCGAGAAUCAUUUACAAUGGAGGCAACUCUGAUGGUGCAACGCCGCGUGGAGGAUGACGGUCCUAGGAUUGUAAACUCCUGUCAUUGGGGAGUAAGACUUAA
rnacentral:rRNA from 1 species